rnacentral:rRNA from 1 species
AUUGAACGCUGGCGGCAGGCCUAACACAUGCAAGUCGAGCGAGCGGCGGACGGGUGAGUAAUGUCUGGGAAACUGCCUGAUGGAGGGGGAUAACUACUGGAAACGGUAGCUAAUACCGCAUACCAUCAGAUGUGCCCAGAUGGGAUUAGCUAGUAGGUGGGGUAACGGCUCACCUAGGCGACGAUCCCUAUCUGGUCUGAGUGGAUGACCAGCCACACUGGAACUGAGACACGGUCCAGACGCCUACGGGAGGCAGCAGUGGGGAAGAUUGCGCAAUGGGCGCAAGCCUGAUGCAGCCAUGCCGCGUGUAUGAAGAAGGCCUUCGGGUUGUAAAGUACUUUCAGCGGGGAGGCGGUACCCGCAGAAGAAGCACCGGCUAACUCCGUGCCAGCCGCCGCGGUAAUAC